rnacentral:rRNA from 1 species
GGACCCGCACAAGUAGUGGAGCAUGUGGUUUAAUUCGAAGAUACGCGCAGAACCUUACCAACACUUGACAUGUUCGUCGCGACUCUAAGAGAUUAGAGUUUUCGGUUCGGCCGGACGAAACACAGGUGCUGCAUGGCUGUCGUCAGCUCGUGUCGUGAGAUGUUGGGUUAAGUCCCGCAACGAGCGCAACCCUCACUUUUAGUUGCCAUCAUUUAGUUGGGCACUCUGAAAGAACUGCCAGUGAUAAGCUGGAGGAAGGUGGGGAUGACGUCAAGUCCUCAUGGCCCUUACGUGUUGGGGCUACACACGUGCUACAAUGGUAUCUACAACAGGAAGCAAAACUGCGAAGUUAAGCAAAUCCUUAAAAGAUACCUCAGUUCGGAUUGCACUCUGCAACUCGAGUGCAUGAAGCUGGAAUU